ACCUACAGAAGAAGCACCGGACUAACUCCGUGCCAGCAGCCGCGGUAAUACGGGAGGGGUGCGAGACGUUAAGUACGGAAUUUACGUGGGACGUAAAGCGCAUGCAGGCGGCCUGUUAAGUCAGAUGUAGAAACGGCCCGGGGACUUUAACCGUACGGUAAGUUGCUAUUUAGUAAACGUGGCGAGGCUAGAGUCUUGUAGAGGGGGGUAGGAAUUUCAGGUGUAGCGGUGAAAUGCGUAGAGAUCUGAAGGAAUACCAGUGGCGAAGGCGGCCCCCUGGACAAAGACUGACGCUCAGAUGCGAAAGCGUGGGGAGCAAACAGGAUUAGAUACCCUGGUAG
rnacentral:rRNA from 1 species